rnacentral:rRNA from 1 species
AACGAACGCUGGCGGCAGGCCUAACACAUGCAAGUCGAACGCCCCUUCCACUGAUCGCUUGCCGAUCAGUGGUGUCUGAAAAGACACCGAUUUUCGGGCAAUCGGUGGAAGGGGAGUGGCGCACGGGUGCGUAACGCGUGGGAAUGUACCUCUGGGUGCGGAACAACGUCGGGAAACUGACGCUAAUACCGCAUAAUGACUUUGGUCCAAAGAUUUAUCGCCCAGGGAUCAGCCCGCGUUAGAUUAGGUAGUUGGUAGGGUAACGGCCUACCAAGCCUACGAUCUAUAGCUGGUCUGAGAGGAUGAUCAGCCACACUGGUACUGAGACACGGUCCGGACUCCUACGGGAGGCAGCAGUGGGGAAUAUUGGACAAUGGGCGAAAGCCUGAUCCAGCGACGCCGCGUGGGUGAAGAAGGCCUGC